rnacentral:rRNA from 1 species
GAGGGCAAGUCUGGUGCCAGCAGCCGCGGUAAUUCCAGCUCCAAUAGCGUAUAUUAAAAUUGUUGCAGUUAAAAAGCUCGUAGUUGGAUUUCUGCUGCUCCGCAUUUUCCCUUUGAGGGGUUUUUGCGCUGUGGCUUAUUUCGGACUGUGUUAUGCACUGUCCGGAUGUUUACUUUGAGAAAAUUAGAGUGCUCAAAGCAGGCUUUUGCCUUGAAUAGUUUAGCAUGGAAUAAUAAAGUAGGACUUUGGUUCUAUUUUGUUGGUUUUAGGUACCAAAGUAAUGGUUAAUAGGAACAGUUGGGGGCAUUCGUAUUUAACUGUCAGAGGUGAAAUUCUUAGAUUUGUUAAAGACGAACUACUGCGAAAGCAUUUGCCAAGGAUGUUUUCAUUAAUCAAGAACGAAAGUUAGGGGAUCGAAGACGAUCAGAUACCGUCGUAGUCCUAACCAUAAACUAUGCCGACUAGAGAUUGGAGGUCGUCAGUUUUUACGACUCCUUCAGCACCUUGAGAG